rnacentral:lncRNA from 1 species
GAAUACGAUCUAAGAUAUUAUUCUCAAAUGUGUCUAGCUUGUCUGCAAGGCGUUGUAUUAUAUCAAAGUCACUAUGCCUUAAUGACUGCUCAAAUGUUAACGCAUGAUUAAAGACCAUGAAGUAAAGAAUUACUCCAAUGAAAAAUCCACAUAGAAACUUUUCGAGUAAAUGUCUUUCCAUUUUAUGAACUGCUACAUAUCUUUCGCUUAAUGGGACAAAACUAGACAUUUUUACUUAAGCCGGGACAAAAUAUUAAUAAUCCGAUUUUGUUGUUAUCCUAUUGUGUGGUCAUGAACUACAGGAUUUUCUCGAUGCACGUCUUAGGUCGUAGAAUAAGAAAUGAUGAAUUAUUGAUAUACAAAGUUAAUAAAUUCAUUUCGUGUUAAAUGCACGUGGUACAAAAAGGGAAGCAUCCUUAGGCAUAAAUCAUG